UAGCCUCAAGAAUUCAGGCAGUUGGCACC
rnacentral:piRNA from 1 species